AAGCUUGAGAAGUCCAUUAGGGGGAAGGAGAUUAUUCUGGAAUCUUAGUAGAGAAGAAAGAGGGGAGAAAAGGACACUUUGAGCUUUUGGCGUAAGAAGAGUGAGGAGGCAGUAGGUUUUGCUUUUGUGCUCAAAAACAAAGUAAAAAAAGGGGACAAGGUGACCGUGAAGGUUAGUGCAUAAAGGAAUUUCUAUGCUUAAAGCUUACUAAGAUUAGAGUGUUGAUCGAGGUUAAGACAAGGGAGGUCACAUUUUGGGGUUAAAGACCAUGGGGUAUUAGUCUAGUGUUUUGUGAUAGAGGAGGACUACUUCUAGUCUUUUUGUGGAGAUCAAAGUCCAUAGUAGGACCUUGGAUUUCAAGUUGUAAUUUUGGACCAUGUCUAGAAGCUUAAAUGUGUAUAUUAUAAUUCCAAUUAAGCUAUCUUUGGGGGAAGGAACUUUAAGACCAAGAGGUUGUUUAGGUUAUCUUGUGAUUGAUAUUUUGUUUAGCAGGCUUCGUAUUAUAACGAUUUUGUUUUUGUCGUAAUAAUACGGCCGGGUUAUGCUCAUUUUUGGGGCGUGACAUCUGU